AGUUAGUACGUGUACCUACUGUAAAUAUGGACGAACAUUUAUAUGUGGGCUUUAGGUGGGCAAUCAUUGAGUAGAUUUCUCAUAAAGAACCUACAAAAAUUU